AACGCUGGCGGCGUGCUUACACAUGCAAGUCGAGUGCGCGCCUGUAGCAAUACAGGUGGCGCACGGCGCACGGGUGCGUAACACGUGGGCAAUCUGCCCUUCGAUGGGGAAUAACCCCGGGAAACCGGGGCUAAUUCCGCAUAACAUUCCGGGGACCUCGGUCCCUGGAUUCAAAGGCGCAAGCCGUCGGAGGAGGAGCCCGCGCACGAUUAGCUAGUUGGUAGGGUAGCGGCCUACCAAGGCUUUGAUCGUUAGCUGGUCUGAGAGGAUGGCCAGCCACACUGGAACUGAGACACGGUCCAGACUCCUACGGGAGGCAGCAGUGGGGAAUCUUGCACAAUGGGCGAAAGCCUGAUGCAGCGACGCCGCGUGGGGGAUGAAGCUUUUCGGAGUGUAAACCCCUUUCGACCCGGACGAAUGCCCCGCAAGGGGACUGACGGUACGGGUAUAAGAAGCCCCGGCUAACUACGUGCCAGCAGCCGCGGUAAUACGUAGGGGGCCAGCGUUGCUCGGAAUUACUGGGUGUAAAGGGUUCGUANGCGGUGCGGCAAGUUGGGAGUGAAAUCUCUGGGCUUAACCAGAGGCUGCUUUCAAAACUGCUGUGCU
rnacentral:rRNA from 1 species